rnacentral:tRNA from 1 species
GCUAGCUUAGCAUAAAUUUACAAUGCGAAAGACUGUAAAUCUUUUUAUAAUGAUUAUCAUUAGCUAGAA